CGGGAGGGCCAGGCCCUGGGUGGGGACUCUGGGCUCUGAGGGCAGUGGGUGCUCCUGUCCUUCAAGCCCCAAGACCAUCUGUGACACCCAGGUGGUGUCUCAGCCCACCCACCGCCUGGGCCCGCACCCGACUGUCGCAUCCGCCUCCCCGCCGCCAGUGGGGCCGGGACACUCUCCCCGCCAGCUCCUCGCAACUCCGUGAGGAAGCAGCGCUUGUUCUGACGUCUUCUGGCGGUGCUGCCUCCUGGCCAGCUUUGCCAGCAGCCUUGGGGGCCUGGGGUCCAGGGGCCGAGGAGCAGCUCCCGCAGGAGCUCCUGCCAAGGGGCCACGGAGUCCCCUCCUGGUCACGUGCUGAUCUUAGAGGCCCGGCGGGAGGCGAGCUCCCCUGAGGGUCCUGAGUCGCUCUCGUCCUUCCCCAGAGACAGUUCGGAUGUGACUCAAGGCUCAGCCCUCUGGGCUCCCAGGGGGACUUUGUGCAGUGGGGCGGGGGGGCUGCCGGACCGAAGGACGUGAGGCAGCCCCAACCCUGACUCCCCCCAUGCCGGUCCUUAUGUUAGGGGGGCCAGACACGCUCUGGUGAGUUGGCCACGGGUCCGGCGGGGGUCCGUGUGUGCCCGCCCAGCCGGGGACCGCCCAGAGCUCCCCUCCCCGCACCGCCCCCGUCCCCCUGGACGCCUGCCCCUCUCGCUGCCCAGGGCCUGCGGGCCGGUCCUGUGCCCGCCCUGGGUGGCUUGGAGCUCCCCGUGUUGCUGCCCCCUCCCGGGGCUGGGCGCUGAGGUGGUUACACGUCUGCCCGCCCGUCCAGCCGCCUCUGGGCUCGGCCGUUUCCACGCGUCGGGUUCUGACUGGCUGGCCUGGGCUGUCUCGCUCCCUGGUUGUGGUGUGGUCUGACCUCUGCCCCGUUCCUGCCGCCCACUGGUGUCAUCAGAGCGUUCAGUGAGCCGUCGCAGCGCAGAGGCUGCGGGAACUCACCAGCUCAGCGGACUCACCACUGCCGUCUCCUUGUGCCUGCGUCGCGUCCACGGGCUGUCAGCGCCACCGAGCCCUGUCGUUACCGCAGCUCCAGGGGCCGCGUCUCCUGGUCGCUCCUUCAGCUGUGGUUCAUUCCUUCUGGACCGUCUGUGCCCCGUCAGGGGUCAUUUCCCGUCACUGUAAAAAGCCAUGUCCUGCGGUGUUUCUCACAGGGACGGGUUUCCGCAGGUUGGAUGUGCCCUAAUUUCUGUAAGAUGUUCCCGCUGGGGAUGAGCUUGGGCGGCAGAUCUUGUCCUUUGUGCUGUAUUUAUUUAGUGUUUUUCCUUUGUGCUUGA
rnacentral:lncRNA from 9 species